rnacentral:rRNA from 1 species
UGGUGUGUCUAUAGCGGAGGGGAAACACCCGAUACAUUCCGAACUCGGAAGUUAAGCCCUCCAGCGGCGAAGUUAGUGCCAGGGUAACUU